UACGUAGGUUGCGAGCGUUAAUCGGAAUUACUGGGCGUAAAGCGUGCGCAGGUGGUUUGUUAAGUCAGAUGUGAAAGCCCUGAGCUUAACUUGGGAACGGCGUUUGAAACUGGCAAGCUAGAGUCUGUUAGAGGGGGGUAGAAUUCCACGUGUAGCAGUGAAAUGCGUAGAGAUGUGGAGGAAUAUCGAUGGCGAAGGCAGCCCCCUGGGACAUGACUGACGCUCAUGCACGAAAGCGUGGGGAGCAAACAGGGUUAGAUACCCUGGUAGUCCACGCCCUAAACGAUGGGUACUAAGUGUGGAGGGGUUAAACCCUCCGUGCCGCAGCAUACGCAGAAAGUACCCCGCCUGGGGAGUACGGCCGCAAGGAUGAAACUCAAAGGAAUUGACGGGGGCCCGCACAAGCGCUGGCGCAUGUGGAUUAAUUCGACGCAACGCGAGGAACCUUACCUAGGCUUGACAUGGGGUCAGUAGCGAACCGAAAGGGGAGCGAACCGUCAAAUCGGGCAAUCACACAGCUGCUGCAUGGCGGUCGUCAGCUCGUGCCGUGAGGUGAUGGGUUCAGUACCGCAACGAGCGCAACCCUCCCCCUUUGUAGCCAUCGGCUAAAACCGGGCACUCUAAGGGGACUGCCAGCGACAAGUUGGAGGAAGGAGAGGAUGACGUCAAGUCAUCAUGGCCUUUAUGCCUAGGGCCACACACGUGCAACAAUGGCCGGUACAGACGGAGGCAAUGCCGAGAGGCGGAGCCAAUCCGAGAAAACCGGUCCCAGUUCGGAUUGAGGUCUGCAACUCGACCUCAUGAAGUCGGAAUCGCUAGUAAUCGCAUAUCAGAACGAUGCGGUGAAUACGUUCCCGGGCCU
rnacentral:rRNA from 1 species